rnacentral:rRNA from 1 species
GCGUGAGUGAAGAAGGCCUUAGGGUUGUAAAGCUCUUUCGGCGGGGAAGAUGAUGACGGUACCCGCAGAAGAAGCCCCGGCUAACUUCGUGCCAGCAGCCGCGGUAAUACGAAGGGGGCUAGCGUUGUUCGGAAUCACUGGGCGUAAAGGGCGCGUAGGCGGUGGGACAAGUCAGGCGUGAAAGCCCCGAGCUCAACUCGGGAACUGCGCUUGAUACUGUCUCGCUGGAGUCCGGGAGAGGAUGGCGGAAUUCCCAGUGUAGAGGUGAAAUUCGU